rnacentral:lncRNA from 1 species
GAGAACAAGUGCUCUCAAUAAGGGCCAGGCCAGUUACAAAACUGUUUCCUCCCUUACCCAUGAAUACACCCGAUUCAUAAAUAUAUUUAUGAGAAGAAAAUAAAUUUUCAGAACACCACAAAGAUUUUCAGUAUUGAAACAUCUUUCGACACUACAAACCACACCCUUAGAAAAAUUUCACAAUUCUUUAAGCAAUUUGGAAUCUUAGACUGAGGGAGAGAAGCCAGACAAUAAACUGGAAGACCAUUUGAGAGUAUUUCCAAAAUAAAAAAAUUUGACUCAGAUUUCAUGUGCAUGUGUGUUUAUGCUCCUGUGUGUGCAUGCGUGUGUGUGCAAGCGUGCGCGUGUGCGUGUGUGAGAGAGAGAGAAAAUUUCACCACCGCAAAUGCAGCAGGGAAACAUGGAAGACAAGGAGAAAACCCAUUAGGUAGACAAGAUAACCAUACAUAUGGUAGAAAUAAAACGUCCCCGGAAUGUUAAAACCUACACGCAUACUCACACAUAGAUAGAGAGAGAGAGAGAGAGAGUGAGAGUGACUAGCUAGGAUUCGCUUUUGAAAAAAAAAAAAGUGCUUGAAGAGGGAGCUACCGAAAGGAGGAGCUAUAUGCGUAGAAGCAAGUUAAGCUCAUCCUUCGGGUGUCACCAGAAGGAGGAAGCGAAGCCAUUUAGUAUACUUGGCCUCGCCCCUUUAGCAUAGUACUUGAAGCAAAGUGAAAUAGAAAUUGACUGCCACAAAAUGUGUUAAUAAUAAUAGACAUUGCUGGCAACAAAAAGAAAAAAGAUUAAGGCCCGUUGGAACUUCAGCAGCAAUCACCCAAAAUUACGGUGAAAGGAAGCCAUUCUGAAUUUUUUUUUAAUGAAAGGAUAAGAGAGGCACUGUAAAAUAAAACGAGCAAACCCACUUCCAACAACUUUCAGUACUACAUCAAAAAAACAAGCAAGCACUCAAAUCAGAAAAAAGAAAACAGAAACAUCAAUCCUUACCUUUACCUCGAGAUCUGAGGGCUCAGGGCUAAUCUCAUGAACACGAUUCACAAUGCCAAGAAAGCCAGCCUUUAGACCGUGACUCAUCUUAACCCAAAUUCAUUAAGGAAACACAAUUGAAGUGCACACUAAACCCGCUGUCAAGGGGUAUGUGAUCAAUCAACUGAGAAGAAAAGGCACUCAAAACAUCAGUUGCCUUUGAUAUCAGACAAGAAAUGGUCUGCUUUGGGCCUAAGGGAUCUUCCAUCAGAACCAGAGGUUAUCAUACUGAGAACCAUGUAUCAAAGGCGAGAAGACAAAGUUUGAAUCAUUGGCAUCUUCUAAGAAGACCAAUUUAUGGAGUUCUAGAGAGAAGCUGAGCUGGUAACAAAUCUAUUCUAAACUAAAACAGAUAUCUCAAAGAGAACCAGUAAGCCCAGCCAAAUUGUGUCCCUCACCCACAACAUAAUAUCAUCAAUCCGAGUUCGCUAACAUGCAAGAACUCUAAGUUGCCUAACCAGAUCAGUUUGAUGCAUAAGAGUUACCAGAUCAGUUUGAUGCAUAAGAGUUACAACACCAUGGUUCAAUAUUCAACCCAAACAGGGGAUGCAUAGAUGUAGUGAAGGACCAGCUUCACGAAAAAGUAAAUCAGGACUUAAUAAGUUUUCCCACAUACUCAGAGACUAAAAUAAGUUAUAAGGAAGCAAGCUGAAUAAUAUGCACCCACCUACCCUCAUCAAGGACCUCAGUAGUAACAGAACUCACCAACCUUCCCUCAUCAAGGAGAUCAGAAGUAACAGAACUCAUCAAGGAGCUCAGUAGUAACAGAAUCAUGUGCAAGGAUAAAGCAGGCCAUUAUGAAGAAAUUCCAAGCUUAGGAACUUCAAUGAUAAACUAUAAAGUAUCAUAUUUGCAAGCUAAGGAACUUGAAUGAUAAACCAUAAAAUAUCAUAUCUGAUGGCAUAAUGAAGAAAUUCCUCAUCCUUGCUUUUGAUUGUAACACCUCACUCCGUGUCGAAUAAGCAUAAUCAAAACUAGACCGCAGGAACCAGUAGGAGCCAGUCCUGGUUAAUUGUGAUUCUGUGUUGGGAAUAUUACUCACUAUGGGUAAAAUUGUUCAAAU